GUGCUCGCUUCGGCAGCACAUACACUAAAACUGCCACAACACAGAGAAGGUUAGCAUGGCCCCUGUGCAAGGACGACAUGCAAAUCCGUGAGAUGUUAAAAACAACA